GUAGUUAAGCAAACACCAAAGGUGACAGCGGGCUGACAAUUUCCCCACCUUUAAGGAUGAAGACAUUUUUUGGGAGACAAUGCAUUCAGAGAAGUUCACAGAUAUAAUUAUAGUUUAGGGUUUUUAGUAUCUUUUUCCUAUUUUCACCAUACACUUAAGGAGCUUUAGAUUUCCAUUUGCUGCUGGACUGAGUGAGCUGUGAAGACACAUCAGAGCCGACAUCACGUCUUCGAGUGUCCUCUGUGGAGUUGUAUCUGGUGGCAUGGCAGAGGGGGACGUGGGUUUCAGCCCUCAGGUUUUCGUGGUGAACAGUCAGUCAAAAUGUGCCUAUAUGCCCAGGAAAAACAAACCAAUCUGGGCAAGAGUAGGCCAAAAGGUUCUCCUCCUGCUGGUAGCUGUGACUAUGUUUGGACUUGUCGUGCAGGGGUUUUUCAUUUACUUUUUAUAUAGAAAAACUGAGGGUGGUCAUUUUCUAGGCCAAAUAGGAAAUAAAGAGUUCAAUGAAAUACCAAUCCCACAGAAGAUGACACCAAGACCCUUUGCUCAUGUGAUAGGCCCCAAUAUUCCUUCAGUGGAAAAUAAUGUGGUGCAAUGGAUUCACGACAAAGGUGACGCCAUUAUGAACCAAAUGAGCUACGACCAAGGCCGGUUAUUGGUUGAGAAGGAAGGAUACUACUUUCUUUACUCUAAAGUGCAACUUAAUGCAGCAAUGGAAUGUUCACCUAUUCUGCACAAAGUUGUGAGAAACACAAGUGCCUACGAUGAGUCAAUAGAACUGAUGAGAGCAAAAAGUUUUCACUGCCGGACCCCAAAGCCCACAAGUAGGGCAACAGUCAUGGAGGAUAUAUGGAACAGUUUUCUGGCUGGAAUUUUCCACCUGCAUAGUGGAGAUAGAAUAUUUGUCACUUUGGAGAAUAUUCAGACGAUACGUCCAGGACAAGCAGACAACUUCAUGGGAGCAUUCAUGCUAACUCCCUAAAAUGUACAUUUUGUGGUUCCACUGUUUUGUGUGCCUUCACACAGUACACAAUCAUGCAGUUUUCGAGUCGAUGGUACUCUGUGUACAUAACUAAAUAACUCCAUAUGUAUGAAUGGGGGAGUAUACGUUUGUCCAGGGUAUCCUUUCAGCAGAGUAACCUUGCCUUGGCACAUCGUCCGGUGGGAUUAGCUCCAGCCUUAAUUCUGACCCUCAGCAGGGUAAAAAAAGAUGAAAUAAAUGUGCAUAUAAAUUAAAUAAUUUAUACUAAUAUAAUCCCACAGAUGGUGUAGAAAAUACUUUCAUUUGAAUGUUUCUGGAAAUAGUUUUGUUCAAUUGUUACGUCUUUACAAUCGUUCUUAUUGGACCUUCUGACAUUCAGAAUUGCCAUAUUUUCCUGUUUCAUGGUGAUUUUUAUUGGAAUCGUUUCUGAAGAAAAAUGUUUUGAUUGAGAUGUGUUAUUCAAUUGUUGAAUUGUUGAAAAAUCAAUUCAUUUGAUCAGUAAUUGAAACAGUGUUAACGUUUUCUUUUUCAAAUGUUUUUUUCAAAAAAUAAACUGCACCUCUGUAGGUGUGUGUGUGUGUGUGUGUGUGUGUGUGUGUGUAGGUGUGUAGGAUGUGGUGCUGACGCUGAUUAAGGUGAUUCAGCUCUGAGAGUGUACUAGGGGAAGUUUCACAGAAUCUGCAGCCUUGUUUGACGGGGACUCUGAAUAUGGUGGCAGGUGGCAGGUCUGGUGUGCAAACAUGCUGAGGUUAUAUAUGGGUCAUUUCCUGCUCCGAGAGACAGAUAUCGUCGAAAAAAGCGAGCCAAACACAAACACUUAUAUUCAUGCGGUUUUAGCAUCAAAUCUACAGCGAAGCAGCCAUCCUGAAUCGUUUUUAAUUCUCCGCAGCGUGCUUCUCAUUGGGCAUCUCAGCUUUCAUAUUCCAUAUUUUUCGUGAAAGUAAUUAUUUCCUGUGUUCAAGGAAGUGACAACACAAUGGCUGAAUAAUUAUUCAUUGUUUCAUUUCCACAUAGGAAUCGUAUUGUUUUAUGUGAAAUAAAAGUAUUUAUGAAUCAGGAAAAAA